AUUGAACGCUGGCGGCAUGGCUAAAACAUGCAAGUCGAGCGAGAAAAUGAAGCAAUUCAUGAGUACAGCGGCGGACGGGUGAGUAAUGCCUAGGAAUCUGCCUGGUAGUGGGGGACAACGUUUCGAAAGGAACGCUAAUACCGCAUACGUCCUACGGGAGAAAGCAGGGGACCUUCGGGCCUUGCGCUAUCAGAUGAGCCUAGGUCGGAUUAGCUAGUUGGUGAGGUAAUGGCUCACCAAGGCGACGAUCCGUAACUGGUCUGAGAGGAUGAUCAGUAACACUGGAACUGGGACACGGUCCAGACUCCUACGGGAGGCAGCAGUGGGGAAUAUUGGACAAUGGGCGAAAGCCUGAUCCAGCCAUGCCGCGUGUGUGAAGAAGGUCUUCGGAUUGUAAAGCACUUUAAGUUGGGAGGAAGGGCAGUAAGUUAAUACCUUGCUGUUUUGACGUUACCGACAGAAUAAGCACCGGCUAACUCUGUGCCAGCCGCCGCGGUAACAC
rnacentral:rRNA from 1 species